CACUAUCGUUAACUGAAUACAUAGGUUAACGAGGCGAACCGGGGGAACUGAAACAUCUAAGUACCCCGAGGAAAAGAAAUCAACCGAGAUUCCCCCAGUAGCGGCGAGCGAACGGGGAGCAGCCCAGAGUCUGAAUCAGCUUGUGUGUUAGUGGAACGGUCUGGAAAGUCCGACGGUACAGGGUGAUAGUCCCGUACACCAAAAUGCACAGGUUGUGAACUCGAAGAGUAGGGCGGGACACGUGGUAUCCUGUCUGAAUAUGGGGGGACCAUCCUCCAAGGCUAAAUACUCCUGACUGACCGAUAGUGAACCAGUACCGUGAGGGAAAGGCGAAAAGAACCCCGGCGAGGGGAGUGAAAAAGAACCUGAAACCGUGUACGUACAAGCAGUGGGAGCACCUUCGGGUGUGACUGCGUACCUUUUGUAUAAUGGGUCAGCGACUUAUAUUCUGUAGCAAGGUUAACCGUAUAGGGGAGCCGCAGGGAAACCGAGUCUUAACUGGGCGUUAAGUUGCAGGGUAUAGACCCGAAACCCGGUGAUCUAGCCAUGGGCAGGUUGAAGGUUGGGUAACACUAACUGGAGGACCGAACCGACUAAUGUUGAAAAAUUAGCGGAUGACUUGUGGCUGGGGGUGAAAGGCCAAUCAAACCGGGAGAUAGCUGGUUCUCCCCGAAAGCUAUUUAGGUAGCGCCUCGUGAACUCAUCUUCGGGGGUAGAGCACUGUUUCGGCUAGGGGGUCAUCCCGACUUACCAACCCGAUGCAAACUACGAAUACCGAAGAAUGUUAUCACGGGAGACACACGGCGGGUGCUAACGUCCGUCGUGAAGAGGGAAACAACCCAGACCGCCAGCUAAGGUCCCAAAGUCAUGGUUAAGUGGGAAACGAUGUGGGAAGGCACAGACAGCCAGGAUGUUGGCUUAGAAGCAGCCAUCAUUUAAAGAAAGCGUAAUAGCUCACUGGUCGAGUCGGCCUGCGCGGAAGAUGUAACGGGGCUAAACCAUGCACCGAAGCUGCGGCAGCGACACUAUGUGUUGUUGGGUAGGGGAGCGUUCUGUAAGCCUGCGAAGGUGUGCUGUGAGGCAUGCUGGAGGUAUCAGAAGUGCGAAUGCUGACAUAAGUAACGAUAAAGCGGGUGAAAAGCCCGCUCGCCGGAAGACCAAGGGUUCCUGUCCAACGUUAAUCGGGGCAGGGUGAGUCGACCCCUAAGGCGAGGCCGAAAGGCGUAGUCGAUGGGAAACAGGUUAAUAUUCCUGUACUUGGUGUUACUGCGAAGGGGGGACGGAGAAGGCUAUGUUAGCCGGGCGACGGUUGUCCCGGUUUAAGCAUGUAGGCUGAUUGUCCAGGCAAAUCCGGAUAAUCAAGGCUGAGGUGUGAUGACGAGGCACUACGGUGCUGAAGUAACAAAUGCCCUGCUUCCAGGAAAAGCCUCUAAGCAUCAGGUAACAUCAAAUCGUACCCCAAACCGACACAGGUGGUCAGGUAGAGAAUACCAAGGCGCUUGAGAGAACUCGGGUGAAGGAACUAGGCAAAAUGGUGCCGUAACUUCGGGAGAAGGCACGCUGGUGUGUAGGUGAAGUCCCUGCGGAUGGAGCUGAGACCAGUCGAAGAUACCAGCUGGCUGCAACUGUUUAUUAAAAACACAGCACUGUGCAAACACGAAAGUGGACGUAUACGGUGUGACGCCUGCCCGGUGCCGGAAGGUUAAUUGAUGGGGUUAUCCGUAAGGAGAAGCUCUUGAUCGAAGCCCCGGUAAACGGCGGCCGUAACUAUAACGGUCCUAAGGUAGCGAAAUUCCUUGUCGGGUAAGUUCCGACCUGCACGAAUGGCGUAAUGAUGGCCAGGCUGUCUCCACCCGAGACUCAGUGAAAUUGAACUCGCUGUGAAGAUGCAGUGUACCCGCGGCAAGACGGAAAGACCCCGUGAACCUUUACUAUAGCUUGACACUGAACAUUGAGCCUUGAUGUGUAGGAUAGGUGGGAGGCUUUGAAGCGUGGACGCCAGUCUGCGUGGAGCCAACCUUGAAAUACCACCCUUUAAUGUUUGAUGUUCUAACGUUGGCCCCUGACCGGGGUUGCGGACAGUGUCUGGUGGGUAGUUUGACUGGGGCGGUCUCCUCCCAAAGCGUAACGGAGGAGCACGAAGGUUAGCUAAUCCUGGUCGGACAUCAGGAGGUUAGUGCAAUGGCAUAAGCUAGCUUGACUGCGAGCGUGACGGCGCGAGCAGGUGCGAAAGCAGGUCAUAGUGAUCCGGUGGUUCUGAAUGGAAGGGCCAUCGCUCAACGGAUAAAAGGUACUCCGGGGAUAACAGGCUGAUACCGCCCAAGAGUUCAUAUCGACGGCGGUGUUUGGCACCUCGAUGUCGGCUCAUCACAUCCUGGGGCUGAAGUAGGUCCCAAGGGUAUGGCUGUUCGCCAUUUAAAGUGGUACGCGAGCUGGGUUUAGAACGUCGUGAGACAGUUCGGUCCCUAUCUGCCGUGGGCGCUGGAGAAUUGAGGGGGGCUGCUCCUAGUACGAGAGGACCGGAGUGGACGCAUCACUGGUGUUCGGGUUGUCAUGCCAAUGGCACUGCCCGGUAGCUAAAUGCGGAAGAGAUAAGUGCUGAAAGCAUCUAAGCACGAAACUUGCCCCGAGAUGAGUUCUCCCUGAGACU
rnacentral:rRNA from 1 species